UUGCAGGUUUAUUUUGCUUUGGUUUUCACAGCUUUUGGAAUUUCCCAAACAAGUGCAAUGGCAUCAGAUUCAACAAAAGCUCAAGAAUCAACAAUAUCCAUAUUAGCUGUCAUAGACAGGAGGUCUAAAAUUGACCCAACUAGUGAUGAAGGCAUGAAGCUAGAGAAAGUUGAUGGCAACAUAGAUUUCAACCAUGUGAGCUUCAAGUACCCAACCCGCCCAGAUCUCCAAGUAUUCAGUGACUUUACUUUGGGUAUUCCCUCCGGAAAGACUACUGCACUUGUUGGAGAGACUGGCAUUGGCAAGCCCACAACAGUAAUUGCUUUGCUAGAGCGAUUCUAUGAUCCAGACUCUGGCACAAUCUCACUAGAUGGAACAGAACUCAAAAACUUCACACUGAGUUGGUUAAGAGAGAUGGGGCUGGUAAGCCAAGAACCAGUGCUUUUCAAUGACACGACUCGUGCUAACAUAGCAUAUGGAAAGUGCGGAGAAGCAACUGAAGAAGAGAUUAUCACUGUCACCAAGGCGUCCAAUGCUCAUGAGAUCAUAUCGGGCUUGCCUCUGGGAUACAACACCAAAGUUGGUGAGAGACGAACACAUCUAUCUGGUGGGCAAAAACAACGGGUAGCUAUUGCAAGGGCGAUCUUGAAGGACCCUCGGGUACUUCUGCUUGAUGAGGCAACAAGUGCCUUGGACACUGAAUCAGAGCGCAUUGUUCAAGAUGCAUUGGACAAGGUGAUGGUGAGCAGGACCACCAUUGUCGUAGCACACUGUCUAUCCACGAUCAAAGGGGCGGAUACAAUUGCAGUGUUGACACCAGAUUUUGGCAUGGUCCAAAACACAAUUAAGAUGGCCUCAAAUGAAAAAGUGCUCAAAUUGAGAAAGUUCUGUAUCGUCAAAAGGAGAAACUUUGGUCUUUGGGCCAUAGCCAUCCGAUCUCAUCUCUAA
rnacentral:rRNA from 1 species